UAAGGUUGGCCCUUGUUCUUUUUAAACUUGAAACUUUUUGAACAGUUAAUACAGAGCUUUUGAUUUAAAGAUAGAAGUAUAAAUUUCUUUUGAACUGGCCAGCUAGACUGUUUCAACUUGCAAUGGUAAAUGCAAAGUAAAAAAACGAGAUAUACUUUAGAGUUUCUUCCCACCGCCAGCCAUGUUUUUUCACCUCACUCAGGGUAAAACCAUGUACAUUCCUGGCUGCACAGCCCUGAAAUUCCACAGAUUAUCAACAUGAAGCCACCACAUCAAGUUAUGGAACUUCUAUCCAAAUAUAAUAGAUGCAGGUUGUCUUUUUAGGGGGCGUCUCAACAAUCACCAAUUAGGAUAAUAAAAAAUAUCAAAGCCAUACAGUCUGAUGAAUAAAUAUAAUAUGAGCACUAACCAGAGUCUUUAUAUGUAGAUUCUCAUACGUAAACUUCAUAUCCAGAUGCCUGAAAAAGAAAAAAACAGUGAGGCAAUAGAAAGAUAAUACAAGACGAUUUUAAAUUAAUAAAAAAUUAAGAAAAGCCAAAUUCCAGAAGGAUACAUCAAAUGAAAAUUUCCAACAUGGAAGCUGAUAUCACAGAAUCUUGCUACUGUUAAUAUAAUUCAAAGCCUGUGGGACGGCUAAAGAACUCAGAACUUUUAUGGGUGUGUGAAUGGAACGACCUUAAGUGAAAUACAGAUUUACAAAGACAACAAUUAUAAAAAAAUUAAUAGAGAUAUUACAAUUAUUUGCCAAAAAAUUCAGAAUAUUCAGUGACAAGAUCCAUUAUAUAGCAUCAUUUUUGGACAAACCAAAAUCAGAAACAAAACAUCCACUAUUCUGAAUUUCACAGUAGUUAUCACUCAGUAGACAUCGUCCAUGUAAAGUGUAUAGCAAUUCACUUGCAAGCUUUUAAGCUAAAAUAAACAAGUUAAAGAAAGUAAAAGCUUUUUCAAAGGAAAUUCUUAGUUGAACAUGGUACACCAUGAAACAUAGAAACAAGCACUCAUGGCAUCCGCAUGUGACUUGUCUAUGGCUCAUGAUGAACCAGUCUGCCCAAGAUACACGCAUAAGCACUUCAAUUUUAAAAAAGGAUGUACAUGAGACAUGUAAAAUCUAAAACUUAACCAACUAUUCGCUCAAGCUUUAUAAGCAGAUCUAUGGUUCAUCCAGAAAUACAAAAUCAAAUAAUUAUAUGACUCCACAAACAAAUAAUAGGUAAACAACAAUAACAACAAAGCCUUAAUCCCAAACUAGUUGGGAUCAGCUAAUGGAUCCUUUUUCAACAUUCAGCUAUGUUUGAAACCAAUUUCACAUCAAUAUCUAACAAUUGUUUCUUUUCAAUACUACUUUCUUCCACAUUAUUUUAGGUCUCUCCCCUUCUUUUUUCACUCAUUCCACCACCAAGUUAUCACACCUAAAUAUAAGCUAUGGUAGACAUAUUGUGAUCCAUGGCAAUAUUCCUCAAAUGGCCUUCAGUUACUAAUCUAACAAGGAUUGUUCACCUAGGAAGCACAAAAUUUGAAGUCCUUACUAAUGAUGACCAUUUGAAUCCAAAGGAUGACAUGGUUUAUCAAAAUUCGCAUCUCAUAUAUGUAUAUACAAUGUUAUACAUAUAUAUAACUCCUUUGGAAGAUGGAACAAAAGCUACAGCAAAAAACAAACGAGAUCUUUAUUUUUACAUCAUCUUAAAAAAAACGAAGCUACAGUCAAAUAUUUCAAUUGACGAAAAGCACUUGCAAAAGAAGACUCAUCAAACCUUACCCAAUAUUAAUUCAUUUUACAUGAGAUUACAUAAAUAAUUAAGUUAUUUUAUACAUCAAAAUGACUAAUCAAUUUGAUAUUGCAAUCCAACCAAUUAUAUUCAUCAUUUUAUUAUUUAUUUCUAAUAUGAGAUCUAUUCUCAAUAUUCCCUCCUCAAGUGCAACCACAAGGUUAGCACUUGAUAAUUAGUUUGUAUUAACCCAAUACGAGCCUAAUUAUGUAGCCUAAAUGGGCAGCUGAAACCCACAACUCGAAUUAGGCUUUAAUAUCAUGUUAAAUUUGAAAAGAAUGUCGACCCUAUUAAAUAUUAAUUCAUUUUAGAUGGGCUUAUAUAAAUGAUUGAGUUGCUUUACAUAUCAAAAUGACCAGCCAAUUUAAUAUGAAAUCCAACUAUUUUUUAUUCACCAUUUCAUGGUCAUCUAGUUCCAAUAUGGGAUUCAUUCUCAACAGUACGCACAAAGGCUUCUAGGAAAAGCAAAAGAGCAGAAAGAAAUAUUGACAAAUAACAGCGCAUCACAUGACUGGAGAUUGACAAUUGAAGCAAUAAGAAAAUGAUAACAUAUUAGUUUCACAGGUGGCGAGGAAGAGAGAAAUGAGGGCAUACCUUUGCUAUUGCCCAAAACUAAGCAACAACACCUACCUGCAGAUUGGAAUCACUAGGACUAGAAACACGUACCAACACUAAAGGGUCAGAUUCCAAACAAAACUGCAUGUGUUGUUAGUAAAAUAAGUAUUACAUCACCAGUAAAUCUAUAAUUAGACUAGAUCAUUGUUGUUGAAUGCCUUAACAAGCCAGGAUAACCAGAAGAACCUUUAAUCCCUUUAUCUUAUUCUUAAACUUAUAGCUUGAAAAUUUUCUUUGAAAGACAUUAAAAUGACACCAAUAAGAUGAUGAUGAUAAAAAGGACAGCUUUUUCAAUUGUUCAAGUAUGCUUUCAAAGGAGAUAAUCAUUGACUUGGUGCUAAAGCUAGGAUUAGAUGCAAGAAACCCAACACUAAACCAAAUAGCUGAAGACCACAGAAUGAUCGAACUCAAGGAAACCAUGUCAACCAAGUAGCCCACUAAUUGUCAACAUGAACUGAAUCACUCUUAUCUUCCAAGAAAAGGAAAUCUCAGCCACUACCAUUAAAAUGGAGACAAUAUAAGGAGAGAAAACAACUAAAUAGUAGCAGUUAAGCAGAUCAUUAAUUACUUUUAUCAUCAAUUAAAGGUCAAUUCCGGACAAAAAUUUCAACCAAUAACAAGGGUGAAAAUUUCCUCCUCGAUGGUCUUCUUGAAUGCUUUCAGCAUGCUGUCUCAAUAAGCCUAGUUUGAUGAUACAAAAAAAAAAAGAAAGAAAGAAAUAAAAAAUAAUAAUAAAAGGAAGGUUGAGAACAUUAUAAGAACCUAUACCAACCAAGAGGGUUAGGAUGGCCUGCAUCUAAGCUUGCUGCAGGCCGUUAUCAAUGAGAUUCGCCAUUCGAUCACGACUUGGCACGUAGCCAAAUGUUUCAGGUCUUGACUACUAUGGGAGUUCAAAACACCCAAGCAGAGAUUGUGAGACAAAUUCACAAAGUGACGAGGGAGAUGGUACCAAUUACAAGAAGUUCUCCUAGCACCACGCCAUGAACUAUUGUUGUUGUAGCAGCAGCGAAAUGGCACCAUCAUUGUUUAGCUCAGAGAAAUGAGCUUUUCUAAUUUUGUUUACAGCAAACUCUAAUUGUCCUGAAUAAAUUUCUCUAUUGUCUACUCAAAAGAGCAAUUCAAAUAUGUUAAAACAAUGUCGCCAUCAUAUUACAAUGGAAAAAUUAUUUAUCUAUAAUUAUCUUCAUAUGAAAUUCAUAAAAUGUUGAAAUACCUAGAUUCACAUAUAGCAAGAUUUGCCAAGCUGAAGAAAUACCUCUUCUUGUUGAGAAGAGAGCAAAUAAGGUAAUGACUUGACAUUAAUAGUUGGAAACUUGGACAGAAGGACAGCUUCAAUGAAGAAAAAGUUCACUCUCUUAAUCACAUAACCUGUUUAGCACAUCCCGCUGCAUUUCUUUUAGCAUAAACGAAAACAACUGAUUGAACCAUCUGAAUGCAAAGAAACAAGUGGGCAACAUAAAUACUACAGAGAAACCAAAUAACAUUUUCUUUUCAAAUUUCAUCAGACACAUACUAAGCAGGAAGUAGAAGUUAAACAGCAAAUAAAAAUAAAGCAAUUUCAUUUCUUAAUCACAUAAUCAAUGCACAUAGCUCCUAGCUCUCUUCAAUUUGACAGGUAGACCAAACAUAUAACUGCCUUCAGUAUAACAUCAAACUAAUUUAUUAUCAUCAUAGAGAGACUACCAAAACCAAAAUUCAAUAUCUACACCAUGUUUCAAAUCGCGGUUGCAUUCGCAGUCGCAGGUAAUGAAAACAGGCCUACACCGGUCAUAACGUAACAGUAACAGCUUGUGGCUACGUAAAUUUUUUUGAAAAAUUUACAAAAUUCAUGAAAUUAUCAAAUAUUUAAAGAUAUAAUUAAAAGUAAGUUAUACAACUUAAUAAUAAGUAUUAAUAAACACAAAAUCUAUAAGUUUUAAACAUCAUACACAAUAACUAAACUCAAUUACUACUAGAAUGAGCAUUUAGUAUUUACAUUAUGCAAAAUAAUUUAAAAUAUUUGAAGAAACUACGUUAUAAUUUAAAGUCAUGUGUAAAUUUUAUAUUUAUAUUUUAUACUUAAUACUUAGUUAUCAUUUAUUAUAACUUGUAAGAGCAUAAAAAUCAUUUCAUAAUCAGUAUUAAUAAUAUUAGGUUAUAAUUCUAAACUUCUAAAGUUCUACAUUUUUAAUCUAGCACUCUAACUUCUAAUUAUUUUUAAUUAUGCAUUCACUAAAAAAUGAUUCAAAAAUAUCUAAAAACUUGUGGAAAAAAUAAUUAAAACUUAUGUUCUGAAUUUCUAAUAUAAAUUAUCUAAUUUCUAAUUAUUUUUAUUUAUGCAUUCACUGAAAAAUUAUUAAAUGCAUCUAAAAAUUGUUGAGAAAUAAUAAGAACUAACUUUUUGCUCAUUAGCACUUCAAAACCACUUAGUAUCUUGGAUGAUUUGAGCUCUUCAAUAUGAGAAUUUCUAGAGAAGUUUAUAAAUAGCACUUUAAGAGCCCUAAAGUUGAUAGAAAAUUUAGAGAAACUUGAGAGAAAUAUAAAAAAAAAAGGGUAAAUUUUGGCUUGGGAGGAAAGUGGAAGGCUUCAAAUGUGAAUAAAAAAGUAUUUUCUACCUUCAAUAAUUCAUACACUAUACUGCAAGUAGUCUCUGUCAGCAAUUCUAAAGAUUUCUACCCAUCAAAUGAAGGUAACGGCCUUUAUGGCCGUUAAGUCGCAACCAAUAACAGCCAUGACCGUUAGAUAAUGGCCAUAACGGCCGUUAUCGACACAAUUUUUAAUCGCCGUGAAAUAACAGUCUUAAAGGUAACGGCUCCCUGGAAAAUCUUGAAAUAACGUAACGACCAUCAUUUAAAACCAUGAUGUAAACAAUAACUAACAAGACAAUUGCAUUAUUUCCACCAUCCACAACCAUGAUUCAUGAAUUGGGAGAAUAACACUAUCACAACUUGCCAAUAACACCCAUUAGAUCCUAUUCCUAAUUCAUAUGUUGCCUUGAGAUAUGUAUGAAGGAAUUAUUCUGACACUAAAGUAGCACAUUCUGUGUAGAAACCACCAUUGUUAGAUAAAAGUUAAUUCAACAAUAACCAAAAAGCAACCUAAGAGGUGGCAAUCCCCAAUAGCUAUUACUUGGAACAAAUUAUGGGUCUCAAGAAUAUAAAUUAUAACGAUAAAAAUGUUACAACAAUGAAUAAUGAUAUACCUAAUUGGUGACAAAUGGAGCUUCUAAGUAAAGAGUAUAUAUUAAAUUUGGGUCAGGCCUAACCCACUCUAAAAACUAAUUCAAGAAGAAGCAGAAGCAGAAGACCCUUGUAAAGGGCACAUUACCCCUAUUCCAAACUAACGCGGGAUUCAAUACACCUCUUACGCUCAGAAUUAUAUUAAAGCAUGAAAUACUUAUGGAAAGCCCAUAUUAAAUUUGAGUCAUGCCUAACUUAGCCCCUUGAACUAGCCCAAAAGCCAAAGGGGCAUGUUACACCUAUUCUAAACUAAUGUGAGAUUUAACCGAGUGAAAAAUCAAAAAUAAAAGGUGAUCCUAGUUCUUAUUCUCUAGGGCUUGAAAGAACACAUUCAAAAAGAAAUACAAGUCAUAAUGUACAGUAAAUUCUUACUGUUAUGAGCUAUCACCUCUCAAGCCCUGGCUUUCUGAAUCAAUAUUACACAAGCACAUGAAUAAUUAAAGAAUCACAAAGAACUUGAAUAUAACCACUUCAAGAAAAGAUAGAAGACACCCAAACCCAAUACAGACACUUAGUUUGGUAAGCUAUUAAUUUUAACAAGUAAUCACUCGAAGUGGUGGGCAGGCUGUGUGGUAAAUUCUUUGAUCCACAUCCUCAACAUUGCCAUUUUCUAGCAGCAUAGUUGUUUUUAUUUUUAUUAUUCAACUCUGAAAUGAAACUUUGCAAAAUCACAUGGGAAAUAUGAUAUAAUAUAAUCAUAAGCAAACUAUUAUAGUAUAAAAAUGUAUUAAAAGAUGAAAUAUAUCAGAUUCCCAGUGCAUUAAGAAUCAAAUAUUUUCCACCUUGUAUUUGAAAUUAGAAACAAAUGUAAGUAUAAAAAGGUAACAUUAAUAUCAUUCUCAUUUAAUAAAAUCAUAUUUUUACUUAAAAUAUAAUAUAAAAUUAAUUGCAACUAUUUUACACCUUGCAAUUGUGCACUCUUUUAUCUUUGGUGCUAAGCUUGUGACUCGUGAGAGGUAUUUGUGUAUUUAGCGAUAAUUAAUGCUAUAGUAAAAAAUUUUCUAAAGUUAACACAGAUCAUAAAGGAUUUUAUAUAAUGGCAAGUUAUUAAAAAAAUUGAGAGAUAUGCAAGUGACCCCUACUUGAUUUCUCUUUCCCACAACAAAUGCUCAGCAAGUUUACAUGCAACAUAUGACUGAUGUGCAAUCAUGCUAGCACUUCAUCUGCUCACAGUAUCAUAUAAUUUAUAUAAAUAAAAAUAUAAGAUGAUUAUAAGCACAAGCAUUUGCUCAAAGCUCACAACAAAACCAAAUGCUAAACCCUUUCAAUUCAAUACUGAUUCUAUAUGACAAUUAUAUAUCCAUAUACAACGCAAAAUCAUUAAAUUCAAUACCAUUGCAGGGGAAAUUGUUUAUUACUACUGACUACUUCUGCAAUACUUCUAAACUUGUCAUUUCUUUCAAUGGUUACUUGUAAGCGGUGUCAUUAUUUGCAUGUAUCGCUCAAUUCGCAGCUUAUUGCAUUGCAAACAGGUGUAAAUAUUUCAAAAUUGGUCAAUAAUCAUAAAUAUUUUCUCCCUGAGUUGUCAGAGCCAUUAAACUUCAGAUAUGUUUGUGGGAAAAUCUUCCGUAACCGUUUCCCAUCUUGGCAGCAAAUGCCAUGAAUCAACCAUAACUUCUGCAGCGCUAACCCAAAAUGUCAUUUUAUCACUUCUAUCCUCCAUAUCCCAUUGUUAAACCUGCGCUCUGACCUCUCAUACCACACAAAAACUGAAUUUUGUUCCCCUAAAAUGUCCAUGCUCUGAAGAAUCAUAAAAUAGUUCAUCGCUGAAUCAGUAUUCAUUGCCCAAAAGUCCAAAAAAUCAACAGCAAUCGAAGUGAUUAUUUUCAGAAGAAUCAUCAGACCACAAGCAAGGAAGAUCAAAAAGUAAGACCAUCCAUGUUUUUAUUUCUAUCUCUUUACAUCAUCAAACAUUUGAAUUUUUGCAGAAACAAAAUCACAUGCAUAUGGAGGUAUUAAAGGAUUAUCCUACAAAAUAUUUUUCAUAUACUUGAUACCUCCUCUUCCCUUUUGUUUUAUUUUGUUUGAGGCCAAGGGUGUCACUAAUCUGAAUGACACCUCUAAGCAGUUGUCACAUAGAAUUAACAGGCAGAAACAAUAUCCUGCUGUAGCAUCAUCACCUUAGCAAAAUUAAAUUAUUGAAAAUGUAAGGAUGUUUCUUCAUAAAUUGUUUAUUUCUUAACCGUGUAAGAUCUGUCAUAUUUCCAUCUAUUUUAUUUUCUGGCCAGGGAAAGGGGGCAUCUUUGGGGUCUGUGGUCUGUGGAUCUAAAUAAACCUUAAGCAAAGCACUUAGAUUAGACCACCAAACAAGCUGCCGAUAUGAGCAGAUUUAACUUAUUAAUGGCAGUGUUGUUUGUCUGUCCUAUAGGAUGAGGUUCAAUAAUCAUUUGGCAUGUUGUAGGACAGAAACUCAAUAAGAUUAUCGAAAUUAGCCUUGCAACACAUUUUAGCGUAUGCAUGCCUUCAUAUAUUGUUCAGCAUCAUCACCACACAUAUGGUCCAAUGUUAAACACUUCUUGAGAAUAAUGUCUUAAAAAUUAAUCAUCAAGCAAACAUGAUAAAAAGAUUUUACUUUAGGAUAGUAAUAAUUUCAAAUACUUGCCAAAGCACGACAAGGAAGAUGUACUACAUGCCAAUUUUCCAAAUAUUAAGUUAGUCCUAGGCAGGGCAUCAACCUAUGGGUUGGUUAGGAGCAAGCAUGAACAAAAUCAUGUUGGAAGAUACCACAACUUUCGAAAGGAAUUUUUAGCUUGUAAGUGUAUCGAGUAGAUUUAUAUCCUGCCCUUGACAGAUAUUACAUCUAGUUCACAGAGGUUUAAAAAAAAUUUUAUUGGACAGUGUUAGUAUUAGUUAAUGAUUCUCCAGCUGUGAAUUCAAAGAACUCCCUCAAAUGUUGCUUUCUUUGUGCUAUACACAUACUAGAUAUAUAGCCUUCACUUAGUUGCUUGAUAAGUACAUCAUGCCAAAUCAUAUGUUCUAUUCGCCUGCACGCAAAUAAAGAUGGACUGAUCAGUCAUACUUUUUCACAUGUGAAACUCAAUUGUCCUACUCCUCCUCUCCCUCCCUUCUCCUUCUUUUAUCUAUCAUUUCCUUUUAUAUUUCUUUAAUGCUUAAUGGGCAGUUUCUUCAUACCUGUUCUCAGAAGUGAUUUUCCAACAUGGCUGAGGCUGACAGUGACACAGCACAUUUAUGUGAUGCUAUCAGUAGACUACCAGAUGAACUACUUCAUACCAUACUGGAGAAAAUACCACUACUUGAUGCAGUGACUACUGGAUUCUUGUCGCGUAGAUGGAGGGAUGUAUGGAAGUACAUUUCCAUAGUAGAAUUUGGUCCAUUAUGGGUUCAGUUGACAGGAAAAGAUGUCUUUUCAUCUCUUAAUCAGUUCAUCCGCCUCCACAAAGGUCAGAAAAUUCAAAAUUUCUCUGUAAGUUUCAAAUAUCAGCCAGAAAUGUCGACACAUGUUGAUUCAUGGAUCCACUUUGCAAUUAGUAAGCAUGUUAAAGACUUACAUCUUGACUUUGAUGCAAUUGAUUUUCGCUUCAAUGAGACUCGUACUGAUAUGAUAAGGUAUAUUGAAUAUGAUCCUUGCUAUGAGAUACCUCCUUGUGUUUUCAACUGCAAAUCACUGGUCAGAUUGAUACUGUGUUGCUGUGUUCUGGAGCUGCCAAUGUCUAUUCAGCUUCCUUCCCUUAAGGUAUUGCGUUUGCAAGGGAUUGAAUUACCUCAAGAUGCAAUCCAAAUACUCACUUCAAAUGCUCCAGUACUCCAGUACUUGUUAUUGAUUGAUUGCAACAGCACCAGUGAUCUGCACAUUAACAUUGCACCAAAUCAACAUUUUCAUAAUCUGGAGAUAAUUGAACACUUUUUUGCUGUCAACCAUAGAACUAGAAUGUUUAUCAAGGCUCCUACUGCCUUCCAAGUGGCAUUCCUGGGCUCGAUGCCACGAUCAAAGUACAUUAUAGAGGAAGUAUCAGAAUAUGCUCAGUUUCAUUUCAGUUUUCCAGAGAUGUUUAAUCUUUCUGGAAAGCAUAGACUAAAUAUCCUGGGUAACGACUCACGCAUUCAAAAAUAUGAAAAUAGAUUCCAGGAGAUACUUGCAAGUUGCCAUAAGUCCAAUGACAUUCGCAUGUGCAAUUGGUGUAUCCAGGUAUUUUGAUCACAAUGAUAUAGUUUCCUUCCAAAUUUUUGCAAUUCAUAAAUGCAAGCUUUAACUUCUAAUGGAUUAACUUUGGGUGACUCAAGUAUGGGCAAAACUACAAUGAAUACUCAAAUGGUUAGAAAAGUAUAAUUGACCAAGAAAAGUAAAGAUCAUUGACAUACAGUUAGAUGAGCUUGUCACCAAAUAUAGUUCCAACUUUUGAACAAAGGUUAACAACAAUUAAGCAGUUCUACUUCCAACAUCUUAUAACAUGCAAGUAUUUUUUUUGUGCAGCUUCUUUCUUUGCGAGAGUUAAGAAAUUUAGAGAGAUUGAAAUUCGACUGCACCAUUUUGGCAAUAUCUUGUACUUUCUGGAAAUGGGAGCUACCGGGAAUUAUUUACAUGCUGAAAGCCUGUCCUAAAGUCGAGGAGUUGACAUUAUCAAUGGCUCCCGGAGAAGAAAAGAUAAAGGUAUGAAAUGUAUUCUAUGUGAUAUUCACCAUGUUCUUUGCUUAUCUCCUCUGUCAUUUUACCAGUCACUAUAGUGCAUUAUCAUGCCUCACAUUUUUUUAAUAAUAAAUUUCCAGAUUGCCCAAGAUUAUUUGUUGCAACAUGACUUCCAGGAAAGCAGAUUCCUGGAUAACCAAAAUUUAGGACUUGAAUUGGAAAAUCUAAGAACAGUACGGUUUGUACAUGGUGGAGAUCACAAGACAUGGGAUCAUGAAUAUUUUGAUCUGAAAAGAUUCUUCAAUGGGGCCAUGUUGGGAGCACAAUUCAUAGGACUACUAAAGAAUCAUGCAGUGAAUCUACAAAGCCUUAUAUUUAAGUCAAGCGAGCAAGAGUUGAAAUGUUUUUUGAAGAAAAGGAAAAAGAAAAAAGAUGAAGAAAAAGAAACAACAACCAGGAGGAGCCCACCAAUUAGAAUUUACUGGGACUAGCAACUACUGAGAAGAAGAAGAAGAGUGAGAGAACCAGCAGUGAUGGUCAUAGUUGUUCUAGUUGCAGUUGUUUCUAUUUGAGGACAAGGCUUGCAGUUAGUUUGUUCUAGUUGUUCUAGUCUUUGUUGCUCUUUCUGUUGCUGUUGUUCUUUAAAUAUCAUGACCUCGGACAAGGUCACUUGAUGUUUAGUCUUUCUAUUUAGAGAACCAGCAGUAGUGGUCAUAGUUGUUCUAGUUGCGGUUGUUUCUAUUCGAGGACAAGGUUUGCAGUUACUUAGUUUGUUCUAGUUGUUCUAGUCUUUGUUGCUCUUUCUGUUGCUGUUGUUCUUUAAUCCUCAUGACCUCAGAAAAGGUCACCUGAUGUUUAGUCUUUCUAUUUAGGCUUGUAUGCGCUCUUAUGGACAUGGGUUUGUUGCAUCUAUGCAUAAAAUAAUUUGGAGCUUCUUAAUUAUGUUAUCUUUUUGUGUAUCCCACUGCUUCAAGAAAUCCAAAAUGUCUCAGGUUUUCUAUCCUCGCAUCGCUUGAUCACAAACACAAGUAGAGAAAGCCCCCACCACACCAAUCUUACCCUUUUCUCAGUUCUGCUGUUUCCUACCUUCAAUUCCCAGAAUUUAACAAUGGCAUUUGCAGAGUGAUAAAAGUCUCAAACUUUCAACACAACAAAAAACCAGAAAUACAGGAAUUUAACUACUGAUCCAUUGAACAACCAAAUCCAAAUGAAGCACAAGAUAAUAGAAACAAAAAUUUCAGCGAUAAAAAACCAUAAACCGUAAAAGUAAAAGAGUCACCCGGAGCGAAAAUGAUCUCGCGAAACCGUUGGACGGUACAAUAUUUGCCCGGUUGCCUUGGUAAAACAGAGGCGGAGGUAACUUAUCGCUUGCUUUUGGGAAAAAUAGAAACUGGGAGAUAACGGCG
rnacentral:lncRNA from 1 species